rnacentral:rRNA from 1 species
AUGAACGCUGGCGGCGUGCUUAACACAUGCAAGUCGAACGAAGCACUUUAACCUGAUUCUUCGGAUGAAGGUUUUUGUGACUGAGUGGCGGACGGGUGAGUAACGCGUGGGUAACCUGCCUCAUACAGGGGGAUAACAGUUAGAAAUGACUGCUAAUACCGCAUAAGACCACAGAGCCGCAUGGCUCGGCGGGAAAAACUCCGGUGGUAUGAGAUGGACCCGCGUCUGAUUAGGUAGUUGGUGGGGUAACGGCCUACCAAGCCAACGAUCAGUAGCCGAACUGAGAGGGUGACCGGCCACAGUGGGACUGAGACACGGCCCAAACUCCUACGGGAGGCAGCAGUGGGGAAUAUUGCACAGUGGGGGAAACCCUGAUGCAGCGACGCCGCGUGAGCGAAGAAGUAUUUCGGUAUGUAAAGCUCUAUCAGCAGGGAAGAAAAUGACGGUACCUGACUAAGAAGCACCGGCUAAAUACGUG